rnacentral:rRNA from 1 species
ACUCCUACGGGAGGCAGCAGUAGGGAAUCUUCCGCAAUGGGCGAAAGCCUGACGGAGCAACGCCGCGUGAGUGAAGAAGGUAUUUCGGUUCGUAAAGCUCUGUUGUUAGGGAAGAAUGAUUGUAUAGUAACUAUAUACAGUAGAGACGGUACCUAACCAGAAAGCCACGGCUAACUACGUGCCAGCAGCCGCGGUAAUACGUAGGUGGCAAGCGUUGUCCGGAAUUAUUGGGCGUAAAGCGCGCGCAGGUGGUUUAAUAAGUCUGAUGUGAAACGCCCACGGCUCAACCGUGGAGGGUCAUUGGAAACUGUUAAACUUGAGUGCAGGAGAGAAAAGUGGAAUUCCUAGUGUAGCGG